rnacentral:lncRNA from 1 species
AAUUUGGGGAAAUUCCCUAAUUACACAUUGGAAAGUGCAAAAAUAUUAAUCACCAUUGAUUAAAAAUUGCAACCGAUAUUAUUAAGAGAUUCUAUCAAAAUAAUCAAUUAAUUUAAAAGAUUCUCCCAAAAUAAUAAAUUAGUUUAUUUAUUUUUUUAUCCAGAUGUCAUUGACCGUUUAAUGGUCAAAAUCAGAUGAGAUCAUAAAUGUGGAUCACGCUAGCUGCUCCACAUUGACUGAAAUAUCUAUAGUAAUUAAUAGCCACUUGGUCGAUCUCAUUUGUUCUUGAUUCCUGAUUCUUGAUUGAGAAGAAUUCUUAAGAGAAUGGUGCUGAUGCAUGCAUGUCUAUGUAAGUGCGUGCAUUCAAACAAAAUAUCAUCAAAAGUAGGUGUAUGCAAGUAAAAUCCAUGAUGUUAGUCCAAUUAAACAUAAAAUUUAAUUGACAUUAAUUCUUCAAAAAAUAUAUUUUAAAAAAAUAAUUAUUAUGUAAUCUGAAUUUGGUAAUAUAAUUGAAGUACUUUAAGAGUCAGUUUGGUAAUGUUGUAGUUUUUAAAAUAAUUAUUAUUAGUUAUACUAUAAAAAUAAUCAGUUAUGAAAAAAAUUAGUUAUGAAAAAAAUCAUAGUAAAUCUUUUUAAAAGUGCUAUGAAUUUUAAAACUAAUCUAUGUGUUUGGUAAAUUUUAUUGUUAAUCUUCUAUAAGAAUGUAAAUGAUUGAAUUGGAUUUGUACUGCGUUUGCUAAACUAAAAUCGAAAUAAGAUGGAAUCAGAAUGGGUAAGAAUGAGAAUAUGCUGGAAUAGGAAUGGAGAAUAAGAAUUAGAAUACGUUGUUUACUUGAACUGUAGGAAUUGAAAUCGGAAUCGGAAUGAAUUAAAUUGUUACAAAUUACUAAAAAGUCUUUAAUAAUAAUGACCAUAAUAUUAAUUAAAACAAUAAAU